rnacentral:pre_miRNA from 1 species
UACAGUGACCAACUGUCCUGGUUUGCCCAGGACUGAGGGCUUUCCUGGCAUGUGGGACUUUCAGUGCUAAAAUUGGGACAGUCCCAGGCAAACCAGGACAGUUGGUCACUUUAGUUAUGA